CCUCGAACAAGUAUCGGCCGAGAAUGGCCUGC
rnacentral:sRNA from 1 species